GUCGAACGGAGUAGCAAUACUUGGUGGCAGACGGGUGAGUAACAUGUGGGUAUCUUCCCUUUGGUGAGGAAUAACACGAGGAAACUUGUGCUAAUACCUCAUAAGUCUUUACGGAGAAAGCUUUAUGCGCCAAUGGAUGAGCCCGCACUUGAUUAGUUUGUUGGUGGGGUAAUGGCCUACCAAGACUUUGAUCAAUAGCUGAUCUGAGAGGAUGAUCAGCCACAUUGGGACUGAGACACGGCCCAAACUCCUACGGGAGGCAGCAGUAGGGAACAUUGCACAAUGGAGGAAACUCUGAUGCAGCGAUGCCGCGUGAGUGAAGAAGGCCCUUGGGUUGUAAAGCUCUUUCGUCGGGGAAGAAAAUGACUGUACCCGAAUAAGAAGGUCCGGCUAACUUCGUGCCAGCAGCCGCGGUAAUACGAAGGGACCUAGCGUAGUUCGGAAUUACUGGGCUUAAAGAGUUCGUAGGUGGUUAAAAAAGUUGGUGGUGAAAUCCCAGAGCUUAACUCUGGAACUGCCAUCAAAACUUUUUAGCUAGAGUAUGACAGAGGAAAGCAGAAUUUCUAGUGUAGAGGUGAAAUUCGUAGAUAUUAGAAAGAAUACCAAUUGCGAAGGCAGCUUUCUGGGUCAUUACUGACACUGAGGAACGAAAGCAUGGGUAGCGAAGAGGAUUAGAUACCCUCGUAGUCCAUGCCGUAAACGAUGUGUGUUAGACGUUGGAAAUUUAUUUUCAGUGUCGCAGCGAAAGCAGUAAACACACCGCCUGGGGAGUACGACCGCAAGGUUAAAACUCAAAUGAAUUGACGGGGACCCGCACAAGUAGUGGAGCAUGUGGUUUAAUUCGAAGAUACGCGCAGAACCUUACCAACACUUGACAUGUUCGUCGCGACUUUAAGAGAUUAAAGUUUUCGGUUCGGCCGGACGAAACACAAGGUGCUGCAUGGCUGUCGUCAGCUCGUGUC
rnacentral:rRNA from 1 species